GUAGGUAUAGUUUAACCAAAAUGCUAGAUUGUGAUUCUAAAGACAGAGGUUAAAAUCCUCUUACUCACC
rnacentral:tRNA from 1 species